CGCUCCGCGGCAGCCCUGCUGUAACUCCAGUCUGCCCUGCCGGGGCGGGGUCGCCGAGGGGAGGCCGAACGGUGGCGGGCACUGGUCUGGGCACCCCAGGAGCUUGACCGAUGCAGCCCUGGCAAAAACCACGUUUGCCACGCUCUGUGCGGGGCUCCCCUCUCCGAGCGCGUGAGUUCGGGAGAGCAGGUGAAGCUGACUAGGACUGACUCAGGAGCAAGCAGGAUGGCGGGACCGCGGAGAAGAGCGAGCGGUACGGGCGUCUUGUCUGGAUGUCAUGCAUGUGCGGGAAGGAGGCGAGAUGGAACGACUUCUCUGAAGCAGGACGCACCGUCCCCAGAUGGGCACAUGUCAUGGCAGCUUUUCCAGGUCUCCCAGCCUGGUGGUUCUUCCCUGGGUCUAACCUGCACCCUCUCUGCCACAUCUCUGAUGCUGUCCUUUUUAUGGCUAAAGAACACGUCUUUUCUGCUCAUUGACUGAAGCGGAAAUGAUCACAGCUGACUGGGACUAGCCGCCUGUCUCGGAGUCCUCAGAGCAAUCAUGUCCAGCCCAAGGCAGAUGAAUGGAGAAGGGAAGGGAUCAGGUGAUGGUUAUACCACAGGAAGCACAAGGACAUUCUCUCCAAAAUCUUUCUCCCCUUCCUGGGCCUCUUCCUAACCUCCACGUCCCCCAUUUCCCUCCUCCCACUCUCCCUCUUCCCCAUUAAGCAAAGUUGAUGUCUCUCUGGCUCUUUUCCCACCAUUAACAAAGCUAGGAAUUUCUGGGCUUAUGAGCAAGGGCCCUGGGUAUCCAGGCUCCUUCAAGUCAGAUCUCUCAGUGGAUUGAGGUGACUGUGGCUUUGGUGGCCCCCCUGAUUGCCCCGAAGAUCGACAAAGAUUUAACUUUGCAUCCCAGUUCCUGAAGCUGGCUCCUCUCUCCAUGAGCAGCCUCUGGAGUUGUCACAUCUGCUCCCAGUCUUGGACCUGGGCACUGACUUUCAGACAGAGCUGAUGGACCAGUCACUGGGAGGGCAUGUCCCUUCCAUUGCCCCUUGGUGUCCUUGUCCUCUCCAUUUGUUAUGCCAAAGGAAUAGCUCACUGGCAGAACACAGUGCUGGCUUCAAAUGUCCAUCUUUAGCCUCGUAGUUCUUGCUCCAGGCUCUUUAUAAAUGUGUUUAGGAAAAAGUGACAUACAGGUAACAGGGCUGAUGCAGCCAAAUGCAGAUGAACCUCACUUGGAGAAAACUCCGUAAGAAUAGAAAUUUACAAAAACACUCCAGAGAAUUCCUCCUGCAUGGCUGGCAGUUACAUACUCAGAAAGAAUUCAUUCCAAUAAGAAUAGUGAUUUUAAAUUUUUAUUUUAUGCACUCUUCCAACAGACAUUUAGGGAUUGGGAAGGAGAUGGGAUGUCAAUUUAAGAAGGAUGAAGACAGGGGCGCCUGGGUGGCACAGCGGUUAAAGCGUCUGCCUUCGGCUCAGGGCGUGAUCCCAGCGUUGUGGGAUCGCCCCACAUCAGGCUCCUCCGCUAAGAGCCUGCU